rnacentral:rRNA from 1 species
UACGAAGGGGGCUAGCGUUGCUCGGAAUCCCUGGGCGUAAAGGGUGCGUAGGCGGGUCUUUAAGUCAGGGGGGAAAUCCUGGAGCUCAACUCCAGAACUGCCUUUGAUACUGAAGAUCUUGAGUUCGGGAGAGGUGAGUGGAACUGCGAGUGUAGAGGUGAAAUUCGUAGAUAUCGGGAGGAACACCAGUGGCGAAGGCGGCGAUCUGGCCUAGUACUGACGCUGAGGUGCGAAAGCGUGGGGAGCAAACAGG